UUUUUGGCAUGAGUGAUGAAUGUACUUGGUAAAAUUCAAAACUGCAAAAUACAAGUUAAAGAUAGCAUCUACAAAUCUUGACUUAAUGGAUAUCAAUUAUAAUAUGGACUAAGAAAAAAGGAAGAUCAAAACUUAGCUCAAAUUAUCAUAAGUUCAUUCCGAGUUUGAAUUAAGUUUGAAAAGCCCAUAUCAAACCCAUAUCGACUUUGGCUCUGGUGGAAGUGCACUGUAAGUUUGAGAUACCUUUAUUGUGCUAUUGUUCUCUUGUUGGCGCCGGCAGCAUAUGCUUUAGCCAAAAAGGAUGUAAUUUACUUGUGCUAUUGUUCUCUAUUUGUACGUCCUUGCAAAUGCAUAGUCAUAUAACAUAUAGGUACUGGCCUAAUAGGUACUGCCUGCCAUGAUGAGUACUUGCAUAGAAGGUACAUCAGAGCUCAAUACCUAGUGUGAUUAUAUGAGGUUUGGUAACUACACGCUGCUGUGAAGUGCAUGUUCUCUUCUUAAAUUCGGGACUACACUAUUGCAUGAUUAGGUAGAACAAUUAUAUCUGUGACUGUGACUAUAAAAGGCAACAAAAAGGCUCAAGGGUGUGCUAUGCAGCAGACGCUAGAGGGGCAGGCAAGGACAUGGGACGAGCCGACGAAGGAGAUAACAGAUGGGAAUGGCUCAGGCCUUAUAGAUUAGGAUUGGCAGGCAUUAGGAACUCUGUUAUAUUAUUUGCGCUGUUGCUUCAUACCAGUGUACCUAUUCAACCUGGUGAAGGGUGCAAGAAUUCUGCGAUAACCAAGAAAAGAAUGGACAAAAUUUGAUAUGUGUUUAGGAGCCGAAAAUAAUCAUGAGCCAAGUUGAAUUGACCUUUUGCCCGCAGGCAUAUCCUCCUCACUGAAAUCAAAGGUCACUGGUACACAUGCAGAUGUCUCCUCAUCAGCAGAAUCAAAGAACAUUGGUAAAAAUGGGUAGGCAAUGCGCAGCACGGUGGAAUACUGUGCAUGGUGGAUUACGCAUAGCCGAUUGUAAUCAUCCAAUUCAACUCAAGAAUGAAACACACAAGCAAUUCUUAUCUCAGCAUGACCAACGUCAAGCUUUGCAAGAAUAUUGGAAAAUUUAAUGACAACUAUUUUCAUGUUUCAGUUCCAUAUGCCAAAUGACUUUGCUUUUCAUAGGUUGGCCUGUGAACAUGAGCAACUGUUAGCAUUUUUGUGCAACCAAGACUUCCCUAGCAAGUCAAAGUGGUUCAGUAAGGUCCAGACUCCAGAGUAACGACGAAGUGUGACUCAUUUCAAUGCGCCUUUGGUAGGAAGGGCCACCAUACGAACAAGCAACAGGUAGGGGCGAAAGCUGCCUAUGCUAUCGGGUGCUAAUGCACCCCCGGCAAAAAAAAUUUUAAGUGCUAACAAUCUCAAAUUACCACACGUGCACCCCCUCAGCCAAGGUUCAUGCACCCCCCAACUGCCCAACGUGGAAUAGUGGAACACUGGAAGCGUGAAAGAGUUUUUACUAGACCAACGCCAAUAAUCACAAGCCGUGGCAUAUAAGUUUUAAGCCGUGGCAUAUAAGUUUUACAAAUUACUGCUCGCUUGCUAAAUGGCUCAGUUAUAGGAAUAGAUAUGAAUAAGUGUACUCAUUUUUGUCAAACUAUAAAAUUCUAUAAGAGUUUAGUAUUUCGAAUUAGUUGAGCAUAGUGGUAUGUCAUUUGGGUUACUAGAUUGUCUGAUUGAUAUGUAAAAAUAUAUAAUU
rnacentral:lncRNA from 1 species